rnacentral:rRNA from 1 species
AUUGAACGCUGGCGGCAUGCCUUACACAUGCAAGUCGAACGGCAGCACGGGUGCUUGCACCUGGUGGCGAGUGGCGAACGGGUGAGUAAUAUAUCGGAACGUACCUUAUUGUGGGGGAUAACGCAGCGAAAGCUGUGCUAAUACCGCAUAAUCCCUAAGGGGGAAAGCGGGGGAUCGCAAGACCUCGCGCGAUUAGAGCGGCCGAUGCCUGAUUAGCUUGUUGGUGGGGUAAAAGCCCACCAAGGCGACGAUCAGUAGCUGGUCUGAGAGGACGAUCAGCCACACUGGGAUUGAGACACGGCCCAGACUCCUACGGGAGGCAGCAGUGGGGAAUUUUGGACAAUGGGGGCAACCCUGAUCCAGCAAUGCCGCGUGAGUGAAGAAGGCCUUCGGGUUGUAAAGCUCUUUUGUCAGGGAAGAAACAGCAGCUCUAACACAGUUUGCGAAUGACGGUACCUGAAGAAUAAGCACCGGCUAACUACGUGCCAGCCGCCGCAGUAAUAC